rnacentral:tRNA from 1 species
CAAAUUAGAGCUUGAAUAGGAAAGCAUUUUAUUUACAUUAAAAAAUUGUUGGGCGGAUCAAUAUAAUUUGA